ensembl:misc_RNA Metazoa_SRP Metazoan signal recognition particle RNA
GCUGGGCGUGGUGGCGGGCGCCUGUAAUCCCAGCUACUAGGGAGGCUGAGACAGGAGAAUUGCUUGAACCCGGGAGACGGAGGUUGCAGUGAGCUGAGAUCAUGCCACUGCACUCCAGCCUGGGCAACAGAGCGAGACUCUGUCUCAA